GAGAGAGAGAGAAAGAGAGAGAGAAUCACAAGCUGUUGCCAUGCUGUCAGCACAGAGCCCUCGGUGGGGCUCAAACCCAUGAAGCCACAAGAUCAUGACCUGAGCUGAAAGUAAGAGACGCUUAACUGACCGAGCCACCCAGGCAUACUUCAUGAGUAUUUUUUAAAUGGAAAAAGUUUGAGUAUUAUUCCUUGCCUAGAAGAUGGGUUGGGAAGUCUUUUUCAGUGACUUUAAAACAUACAUUAAAAAGCAACUGUAAAACUUAAAAUCUCGUUGAUUCCAAUGUAUGUAUCCUACUUACUAGGAUGAUAAUUAAAACUACAUAUUCUUCUGGCUUUAAAAUUAAACUGAUUACAAAUGAGUUUAAUGACACUUUAAUAUUAAAUUGAGGGUUUUUUUGCCUUGAGUAGCUAAGGAACUGUGUACUCAUUGCAAUGACAUGGGUGCAGAUAUUUAUAAAAUGUCCUUAUUUGGUAAAUAAUCCCUAAUUUCCCAGAGUGUGUCAGGGAUUGCCCCAGUGCCUGCAAUCUCUGGGGAUAUGGAACAGGAAACAGUUAUGAUCCAAUGAGGUAGGUGCUACCUUGGGAAGCAAACACCCUUGUACUUCUAGCCUCAAGAAUUAUGGAAAUUAGUAAUGCUGGAUAUUUUAUUCCUGGCCUCUGGUAGAUUCCUCUAAAGAUGGCACCCAUUGCACUUCUAGCCUCAAGAAUUAUGGAAAUAAGGACUAUAGUAAUAUUGGAUAUUUUCUUCCUGGCCUCUGGUUGACUAGGCUCUAAAGAUGGCCCUUAAUGAACCACAGCUCCUGCUAUUAAUGCUUAUGUGUAGUUCCCACCUACAUCUGUAUGAACUGCUCUGUGACUCGUGUUAACCACUGGAAUGCAGAAGUAUGCUCUGCCAAUCCUAGACCUAGUCUUUAAGAGGACUGGUCGCUUCCACUUUCUCGCUCUUCGGACACUUACUUUUGAGAGACCUGAACCACCAUGAAAUAAGUCUGACUACCUUACCAGAGGGACCCUGUGGGAAGAUUACGUGAAGAGGGAGAGGGACCCUGUUGUCAUAAUGUCCCCAUUAUCUGAAGAGAUGACUCCAGUCUCACCUGUCACCCUACUGCAACCAGAUGAGAAGCCCCAGGUGAGACCAGUGGAAGAACUGCCUACAUGAUCUCAGACAACCUACAGAAUCACAAGAGGGGGUCAUUCCAGUGCUUUCUAUUGAUGAAACUUAAAAUUCUGCCACCUGAUGACGGAGAACUUUUUGCAGGAUCCAAGUCCAGUAUCACAAGGUGCAGGGCAAAGAAGAGUGGAUUUGGAAUGGAGAGCCAAUAAAUUGAUAACUUGCA